rnacentral:lncRNA from 1 species
CACUUUGAGCAUGUCAUGGAAAAUGUAUCAUGAUAUACCAAAAGCAGGUCCUAACGAUAGUGAAAGAGAUCAACAGAUAUGGUUCUUCUAAUUCUGAGCUCAUCUUCGAGAGAAAUUACAUAUUUACAUAUCUCCUAAUUCUGAUCCCAUCUUUCUAUAGUUCAGUCUUUAAUAAUUAUUUCAACAUCAACAGUAUAUGUGAACAUCAGGAGGGAAGCAGAUGUGUGCCUUCCUUUUGCAUUUGACUCGGUUGAAACAAUAAAACCUCUCCACAUAAAAAAAGCAAUCUGCAAAAGCAUGUUCCAAACAUUUUAGAGCAUGCUGGCAAUACAAAGCAAUAAAUGGUUGUACAGCAAAGCAGAAGUGCAUAUGAGCUACUACUGUGACGUUUAGUUAUGAAUCAAGUGGAGCACAAUAAGAUCAUGUUCAUAACCUGCAAAACAAUAAUAAAAGACCUCAAUUUAUUAUUUUCCAUGGAUUUAAGUAUAUUCCAUGAGAAAUUUCUGCUGUAACCAAGUCUCAAGCUCAAACCAAAAUAUUUUAGCAUCAUUACUUGAGUUGUUUUCUGUUUUCUGUAAGUUGUAGAUCUGAUGCUACACGCCCUGAUCAGUGCGCAGUAGUAAUAUAUGAUUCAGGUAUAAUGGACACUCAUGAUUUUUUUCCUUUCUUAAAAUGAGGUAUACAACUAAUCAACUAUACACACCGGAUACUCAAGUUACAUGGUAAUAAAUAUUCAGAGAAGAAAUAUAUCACGACAAUGAUCGCAACUCAUUUCAUGUAGUGCAAAUCACAAAAGGGGGAAGAUGCUUUCAUGGAAGAAUCUAAAAUCAUUCACUGCAUAACAAAUAUUGUUUAUCUACUACCAAUUAUAUAUCGCAGUUGAUGUAUGUACAUUACCAAGACAAAGCAAGUAACAGGAAGCACAUUAUUAUUUUGAGCUGAAGUGUAUGCAGAUGGCACAAAUACUCGAGGCAUGUUCUAAUUAUUCUACUGGCUCUAGGUCCAAAAGAAUGAGCAAGAAGAAAUAUAUAUCUCUCUCAGAAAAAUAUAGGAUUACUAAUCUGAAGAAUAUAAAUUUGUCUGAUAAAAAAAAAUCCAUGCAUGACUUCCUACCUCAUAAGCAUGCGGACCAUUUAGAAGCCAAGCUAACAUCAAGUACAAAAAAUACAAACCGUCAUUAUUGGCAAAAUGCCGCACUUCCUACCUCAGAAGCACGAGGCGUGCAAUAAUUAUUGGGAUAUCCUACCAUGAAUCAGCAGGCACAGGUAAAUGGAACAUACACAGUAAUAGU